GACUUAAUGGCUGGCUGGGAGGCAGGGCCAAGGGCCACUGGUUCCUCCCAGCUGGUCAUUAAUCCUC
rnacentral:precursor_RNA from 1 species